CCUAAAUCCGGCCCAGACGGUCUCUUCUCUUCAAUGGGAAGGGCUAAGAGGGAAUGCGGUGCGGGAUCUCGGUCUCAAAUCCGCGGCUGUCCCCGCAACUGUAAGCGACGAGCCUCGGCCGAAAACCACUGGGAUGUUCCCGGGAAGGCGGCAUUCGAGGCGAUGAACCGCGAGCCAGGAGACCUGCCGUCCGUGACGUGAAGUA
rnacentral:ncRNA from 2 species